rnacentral:rRNA from 1 species
ACCAAAAAAAAAAAAAAAAAGAAAAAAGUAGUAAAAAAAAGAUAAAAUAAAAGGAAAGAAGAAUUUUUUUUUAAAUUAAAUAGAUAUUGUAAGUAAAAGUCGUAACAAGGUCUCCGUUGGUGAACCAGCGGAGGGAUCAUUACCGAGUUUACAACUCCCAAACCCCUGUGAACAUACCUAUCGUUGCUUCGGCGGAUCCGCCCCGGCGCCCUCGGGCCCGGAUCAGGCGCCCGCCGGAGACCCCAAACUCUUGUAUUUCUUUAGUAUCUUCUGAGUAAACAAGCAAAUAAAUUAAAACUUUCAACAACGGAUCUCUUGGUUCUGGCAUCGAUGAAGAACGCAGCGAAAUGCGAUAAGUAAUGUGAAUUGCAGAAUUCCGUGAAUCAUCGAAUCUUUGAACGCACAUUGCGCCCGCCAGUAUUCUGGCGGGCAUGCCUGUUCGAGCGUCAUUUCAACCCUCAAGCCCCCGGGCUUGGUGUUGGGGCUCGGCCCGUCCCUCGCGGCGCGCCGUCCCCGAAAUCCAGUGGCGGUCACGCUGUACUCCUCUGCGUAGUAAUCCAACCUCGCAACGGGACAAAGCCUGGCCACGCCGUUAAACCCCCCACUUCUGAAGGUGACCUCGGAUCAGGUAGAAUCCCCAGUCU